rfam:Pteropus alecto contig104253, whole genome shotgun sequence.
ACAAAGGCUCUUUUCAGAGCCACCCACUUCAUCUCAAAAAGAGCC